AUGGGAAAAAGUUAUAGAAAAUGAAGGAAAAUAUUUUGAUUAAGAUUUGCUCUCGUGAAAUGGUAAGAAAUGCGAUAUGCUCUAAAAAUUUGGAACAUGGGAUACCAUGCUACGAAAUCUGUCUCUCCGCGCAAAUAGAUUAUGAGAUGCAAAAACCUGUCAUAUGAAACUUCUCCUCUUUUGAAGAAAUAAUAUGUGUCAUCAAUGAGUUGAGCACGGUUAAUAACAUGAAUCUUCGUAUACUCCUUGGACAUUAGUUCACUAUGAUCCACCCAUCCUUAUCAGAAAGUGGAACAAAUAUUUCACUAUAUGGAUCCGGAAUUAUCCAUUUAUGAGGGGUUGUGUUAGUGAAGUCUAACUGCUGCCAUGUAGUGAAAGUGAUAGGUAUCAAAUGAGAUGGUGCUCGCUUGCGAUAGUAUCCGAUGUUAUAUUGUUCUUGAUCUUGAGAUAUUGCCAGCAGAUCGUCAGUUCGAUGAACAUGUAUAAGAGGAUAAUUACUUUCUGUUAUCCUUGUCGCCAUUACAUCUUUCAGGGCAGGAUCACCUAUUCCUAUUCCUCGAUCAGUAAUUUUAACUUGCAUAUCCCAUAAAUCCGUAGGAGACUCAACCUUGCUAAAUGGGUAGAAUUUUCAAUUUCGGAUAUUUAAAACUAUAAUAUAUUAUGUAUAAAGAUUGAAACAUGCACAGUUUGCACUACACACAUAUUCUAAUAACAUUAUAUAACAAGGAAAGAUAAUUGGUAAUUCAAUGUAAAGAGUAAAGUGCCAACUCAAACAUAGUUAUAAUACAACUUAAUUUGCAUGAAAUCCUACAGUUGAUAGUUGUAGUUUACAUUCUUCCGAAUCAAAAAAGAAUUGAGACAUCGAAAUCACACUAAAACUAUACCAUUGUGUUUAUUAUGUCACAUACUAUGUUACCUUGUUACUGUGUUACAAAAUGUUACUCACGUGUAGUUCUUGAUAAUCUCUUGAAACCGAUCCUUACCCAUAAUAUGUUGUGUCAUGCGCAAUAUGACAGGUGCUGUAAACAUUCAUGUAAGUGUAUAUAUAAACGACAAAUACAAAUUAGUAAAAUAUAAAUUUA